GCUCCGCUCUUGCUCCAGCGGCACAAUGUGAUCCACCAGCAAGGAGGGACGCCAAUAAGAUUAGGGCUGCUCUCAACUUUUAUCACAGAACCUUCUUUCUACAGUGAACAGCGGUCCAUACAAAGACUCAACUGAUCAAAGUGCUGAGAAUAAGUGAUUGUUGAGUACUCAGCCCUAAAUGAGACAUUUAUAUUAACCAUUGCCUGCCACCCCACCAAGACCCAAGGUACAAUGUAAGAGCUGGAGGAUGGUAUAGAAAUGCUGUCUUCUGAACAUGACAUGGCCAUUGCACUCAUGAAGUCACAGCAGCUAUGAUUACCUGUACAAGAUCAAUCCAGUCAACAUUACAGCAUGGAUGGGAGAGGGACUCAGAAGUUUCCACCCCUAACUUAGGAGCUGUUGACAAUUGUCGGCUGCUAGAAGAGUCAUUUUUCUUCCAGAGAAUGGCUGCUGUGACGUUUGAAAACUGGCCAAUUAUGGAUUUCAUAAUGUUUUUGGAACACCUUCGGCAUCACUGAAACACUAAAUCUAUUAUCUCAACAUUUCCAGCUCCAAGAGCUUCCAACGAUUCGUCAAAAAACAGCAACAAAGGGAGGCUGCUUAAAAUUCCUAACUAUGGAUGCCCAGAAUGUUAGCAUCGAGAAAUUUCCAGUGGCGUAAAAAUAAGAUGCAGCAGAUUGAAAUUUAUCUCAUUCACCCUGUGUACAUAGCGGUCCCCUACACGUAUUCCAUCACAUUGGGGAAACUGGACCGCCUCAUUCCUUCGGUGUGUAGGGUACCGGCAUUUCCAUUUAGUCGGGCACAAAGCGACCUGCGUGCUGACACCAAAGCCUUGGUAACCAUUUUGGCGGGCCCACAAAGCGGAAGCGUUACGCAAUUGCCAGCGGGAAGCUAUGCAGUGAAUUAAAUAAGUACAAAGACAAACUCUCCUACAGUCACUGCAGCCUCUGACCCUGCAAACAUUAUUACCAAGCAAUGUGAUAGUCCUCAAAAAAAAAAAAAAAAAAAAAAAAAA